UUUCCGUAGGUGAACCUGCGGAAGGAUCAUUAUUGUAUAACCGAGGUGCGAGGGCUGUCGCUGACCCGAAAGGUCGUGCACGCCCGAGUGCCCUCACCCACAUCCAUCUCACCCCUAUGUGCACCACCGCGUGGGUCCCCCUUUGGCUUGUUCGGAGGGGGGCUUACGUUUUCACACAAACUUUGUAUGCAGUGUAGAAUGUAUUUUUUGUUUUUGCGAUCACGCAAUCAAUACAACUUUCAACAACGGAUCUCUUGGCUCUC
rnacentral:misc_RNA from 1 species